UUUCUUGCUACUCACUUUAAUUUGCUGAUUCGACGAUCCCAGGGGAGCAUUGUUCAAAACAUGUUUAAGGGCUUCAACAAAGCGAUAUUGAUUGAGUAAUGCACAGACUUCUCCCUCAUCAGGACCAGUUGGUAUGGAUUGUUCGGAUUCGUCUUCUUUGAAGUUAUCCUCGUUGUAUUGAUCAAUGUCAAUUUUUCGAAAUGCGGAACUGGAAGUAUUCUUAGCCAUUUCUUUAUUGUAAGCAAACUUUAACACUAAUAAAGCGUAGUUUUAAUCAAAAAAAUUAAUUAAACUGAAA